CCUGCCUGUAAGACUGGGAUAACUUCGGGAAACCGAAGCUAAUACCGGAUAGGAUCUUCUCCUUCAUGGGAGAUGAUUGAAAGAUGGUUUCGGCUAUCACUUACAGAUGGGCCCGCGGUGCAUUAGCUAGUUGGUGAGGUAACGGCUCACCAAGGCAACGAUGCAUAGCCGACCUGAGAGGGUGAUCGGCCACACUGGGACUGAGACACGGCCCAGACUCCUACGGGAGGCAGCAGUAGGGAAUCUUCCGCAAUGGACGAAAGUCUGACGGAGCAACGCCGCGUGAGUGAUGAAGGCUUUCGGGUCGUAAAACUCUGUUGUUAGGGAAGAACAAGUACGAGAGUAACUGCUUGUACCUUGACGGUACCUAACCAGAAAGCCACGGCUAACUACGUGCCAGCAGCCGCGGUAAUACGUAGGUGGCAAGCGUUAUCCGGAAUUAUUGGGCGUAAAGCGCGCGCAGGCGGUUUCUUAAGUCUGAUGUGAAAGCCCACGGCU
rnacentral:rRNA from 1 species